UACGUAGGGGGCAAGCGUUAUCCGGAUUUACUGGGUGUAAAGGGAGCGCAGACGGCCAAGCCAGUCUGAAGUGAAAUGCCGUAGCUCAACUGCGGAAUUGCUUUGGAAACUGUUUGGCUAGAGUAUCGGAGGGGUAAGCGGAAUUCCUAGUGUAGCGGUGAAAUGCGUAGAUAUUAGGAAGAACACCGGUGGCGAAGGCGGCUUACUGGACGAUAACUGACGUUGAGGCACGAAAGCGUGGGGAGCAAAC
rnacentral:rRNA from 1 species